rnacentral:rRNA from 1 species
CGGUUAUGUAAAUCUUUUGUGAAAUCGACAGGCUUAACCUAUCGGACUGCAGAAGAGACUGCAUAACUCGAGACCGGAAGGGGUUAGGAGUAUUCAAAGGGGAGCGGUAAAAUGUUAUAAUCCUUUGAAGACUACCUGUGGCGAAAGCGCCUAACCAGGACGGUUCUGACGGUGAGGAACGAAAGCUAGGGGAGCGAUCCGGAUUAGAUACCCGAGUAGUCCUAGCUGUAAACGCUGCGAGCAAGGUGUUGCAUAUUUUACGUGAAUGUGCAGUGUCGAAACGAAGGUGUUAAGCUCGCCGCCUGGGGA